UCAUCCUGGCCCGUAUGCGGAAGACCGCAC
rnacentral:sRNA from 1 species